GUGGGGAAGUGUCUUAAGGAAUCACCAGGUGGGACAAAGAGUGUGAGCCAGGUUGGUGGAGACUGAGAUAUGGUGCCUGCCUCCUCCUGUCUCUGGGGAGG